rnacentral:rRNA from 1 species
GCUUCUUUGCCAUGCGCUUUGCUUCGCUUUAUUUUUUAGAAAAAAGAGACCAAAUGAGAGUGAAAGGCAAGGGCAAGCGAUAAAAAGGAUAGUCCCUCGCGCGAACUACUACUACUAGAAAAUGGUGAGACCAUUAGUGAAAGAAGGACCAAGGAUGAUCCUAUCCGUCAGUAGAAGGAGGAGUAGGAGGAGUCAGUUUUCUUUGAAGAUCGAGGAAGGUAGUGUCGGACAAUUAUGCCAUUCGGAAGAAGUCUUCUACAGAAGAAAAGCCUGUUACGAGUAAGUGGAGAGGAAAGAUCUCCAGAGAUUCUUAUCUCAUUCUAUUCUAGUGGCUCAACCAGUAACCAAUGGCGAAAACUCAAAAAUCUAUGGUUUCCCGGUAGAACCCUAUUUCACCUAAGUUGUUUCGGAACCGAAAAAAAGAAGCGGUUUUUUGCACAGCUUGCUCAUAGUGCAGGUCCCACUUGUAUAUCGUAUUUGGCCGAAGAAGCAUCGGACAAGUUGGAUUUCUUACCUUCUUGAGACUCCAUGGACCAAGAUCUGUUUUUAUUAUAUGGUCAAUACCAAUCUACUUUAGUAGAUCAUAUGGAUGUAUAAAAAGCAACUAAUUUGGAUGAAAUAGAAACAUCUCUUUUCCAUUUCUAUUUACCCAGUUCAUAUACUUGUUUCGUGUGUUCCUGGGAGGAAUUCGAUCUCGGAAUACCACCUAAAUAACUAUGGCCAGAGAGUCAAAUAGGUCGGGAAGAAAGAGUCUGAGGUCGGGUCGGACGACAUACAUCUUGGUUGGUUCCACCACCACUAGAGAUUGGACAUAUAUAUAAUCUUUCUUCUAAAAAAGGGAUUCUUAUACUCAAGGUCGUGUAAUAGAUUUAUGAUAUAUAAUACGUCAGUAUGGAGUCUAAUUCCUAAUAGGUUUUAUUCAUCUUUCUCCUAUGAUUUUGUUGGAUAUUGGGAACGUUUAAAAAGUCGCAUUGAUUCUGUUAGAUGGAAAGAGAUUUUUCCUGGUUCGAAAAUGCUGGAUCAAAUUCUUAGUUCAAAGAAAGGGUGGGAGAGAUUGAUUGCAAAGAUCACUGGAAUGAAUGGUUGAGGCAAAGAGUGAGGGAAAUGUUGAUCAAUCGAUCUGGAAAAACAAUCCUGGUGAGAGCUUUUCAUCAUACCCUGCUGGGCUUGCUUUGCUCGGAUGUUCUUGCCUUUGCCCCUCAUGCCAGCUUGCUCUCUCAUCCCUCCCACCCUUGCUUAUACCUAGGAUUCCCAUUUGGUUCGGCUUUUCAUAGAUCUACAUGGGAAUCUUCGUCAGAUCGAUCAUGCAGUUAGGGCCAAUCAAGCAGAGAUCAAUUGGCCUGCCAGAGAGCUGACAUUAAAAGACUGAGACCCACAGCACCAAGAAAGCUAGACGACAUAGGAUCAAAAGUUCAGGAUGAUGUGAUCCAAGUCAAUGACGAGGCAAAGCAGUUCCUUGACUUUGUCCAUCGAGUCAGUAGCACGCUUGCAAAGGGUAGGAAGCGGACAGAUGCCAUCGAAUCAGAUGUGAACAAAUUCUUGAAAUCCGCUCUUAGAGUUCGAGAAUCCAAGCGCUGGCAAGUCAGCUAGUGAACCAAGGGGCAAAGAAAGGGGGCCCUUGGGCCACUUGACUCUAAGGAAAGGUAAAAAUUUAGUUCUAUCUUCUACGAUGUAUGCUCUUUAACUGGUUCAUUCUAGAAGAAUGGAUGGCGCAGGAGUCUCUCUUCUGAGACUUGGACUGAUGAACUCUGUAACCUAUAUUCUCCAACCUUCCUCGAUACCCUAGAGGUCAACUCUUGCCACAAGGAAUGUCAUCAUUUUUCGGCUGUUCUAUGAAAAUCCUUGUCGGCUAAGUCCCGACCCGGACAAAAGGCAUAACAAUCUGGGCACUAUCUCGGAGAGAGGCUCAGUGAAAUAGACAUGUCUGUGAAGAUGCGGACUACCUGCACCUGGACAGAAAGACCCUAUGAAGCUUCACUGUUCCCUGGGAUUGGCUUUGGGCCUUUUCUGCGCAGANUUUCCUGCGCAGCUUAGGUGGAAGGCGAAGAAGGCCUCCUUCCGGGGGGGCCCGAGCCAUCAGUGAGAUACCACUCUGGAAGGGCUAGAAUUCUAACCUUGUGUCAGGACCUAUGGGCCAAGGGACAGUCUCAGGUAGACAGUUUCUAUAGGGCGUAGGCCUCCCAAAAGGUAACGGAGGCGUGCAAAGGUUUCCUCAGGUCGGACGGAGAUUGGGCCUCGAGUUCAAAGGCAGAAGGGAGCUUGACUAUAAGACCCACCCGUCGAGCAGGGAUGAAAGUCGGCCUUAGUGAUCCGACGGUGCCGAGUAGAAGGGNGUGAUCCGACGGUGCCGAGUGGAAGGGCCGUCGCUCAACGGAUAAAAGUUACUCUAGGGAUAACAGGCUGAUCUUCCCCAAGAGCUCACAUCGACGGGAAGGUUUGGCACCUCGAUGUCGGCUCUUCGCCACCUGGGGCUGUAGUAUGUUCCAAGGGUUGGGCUGUUCGCCCAUUAAAGCGGUACGUGAGCUGGGUUUAGAAUGUCAUGAGACAGUUCGGUCCAUAUCUGGUGUGGGCGUUAGAGCAUUGAGAGGACCUUUCCCUAGUACGAGAGGACUGGGAAGGACGCACCUCUGGUGUACCAGUUAUCGUGCCCACGGUAAAUGCUGGGUAGCUAAGUGCGGAGCGGAUAACUGCUGAAAACAUCUAAGUAGUAAGCCCACCCCAAGAUGAGUUCUCUCCUAUUCCGACUUCCCCAGAGCUUCUGCUAGCACAGCCGAGAUAGCGACGGGUUCUCUGCCCCUGCGGGGAUGGAGUGACAGAAGUUUUUUUGAGAAUUUAAGAGAAGGUUACGGCGAGACGAGCCAUUUAUCAUUAUGAUAGGU